ACGUUAAAACACCUGUCCCCCGUACGAUCACCGAAGUUAAGCAACGUUGAGCCUGGUCAGUACCUAAUUGGGUGACCGCUUGAGAAUACCACGUAGCGUAA